AGAUUGAACGCUGGCGGCAUGCCUUACACAUGCAAGUCGAACGGUAGAGUAGCAAUACUCGAGAGUGGCGAACGGGUGCGUAAUAUAUCGGAACGUGCCCAGUCGUGGGGGAUAACGUAGAGAAAUUUACGCUAAUACCGCAUACGAUCUACGGAUGAAAGCGGGGGAUUCGCAAGAACCUCGCGCGAUUGGAGCGGCUGAUAUCAGAUUAGGUUGUUGGUGAGGUAAAAGCUCACCAAGCCGACGAUCUGUAGCUGGUUUGAGAGAACGACCAGCCACACUGGGACUGAGACACGGCCCAGACUCCUACGGGAGCAGCAGUGGGAAUUUUGGACAAGUGGGACGAAAGCCUGACUCCAGCAAUGACCGCGUGCGAAGGAAGAAGGCCGUUCGGUUAGUAACUGUCUUUUAGACGGAACGAACGUUCUUACUAAGUAAAG
rnacentral:rRNA from 1 species